rnacentral:rRNA from 1 species
GACGAAAGGGGGCUAGCGUUGUUCGGAAUACUGGGCGUAAAGCGUGCGCAGGCGGUUGUGCAAGACAGAUGUGAAAUCCCCGGGCUCAACCUGGGAACUGCAUUUGUGACUGCAUCGCUGGAGUGCGGCAGAGGGGGAUGGAAUUCCGCGUGUAGCAGUGAAAUGCGUAGAUAUGCGGAGGAACACCGAUGGCGAAGGCAAUCCCCUGGGCCUGCACUGACGCUCAUGCACGAAAGCGUGGGGAGCAAACAGG